AUUGAACGCUGGCGGCAGGCUUAACACAUGCAAGUCGAGCGAGCGGCGGACGGGUGAGUAAUGUCUGGGAAACUGCCUGAUGGAGGGGGAUAACUACUGGAAACGGUCGCUAAUAACGCAUAGCUUCAGAUGUGCCCAGUUGGGAUUAGCUAGUAGGUGGGGUAAUGGCUCACCUAGGCGACGAUCCCUAGUUGGUCUGAGAGGAUGACCAGCCAAACUGGAACUGAGAAACGGUCCAGACUCCUACGGGAGGCAGCAGUGGGGAAUAUUGGACAAUGGGCGCAAGCCUGAUGCAGCCAUGCCGCGUGUGUGAAGAAGGCCUUCGGGUUGUAAAGCACUUUAAGCGAGGAGGCGUUACCCGCAGAAGAAGCACCGGCUAACUCCGUGCCAGCAGCCGCGGUAAUUC
rnacentral:rRNA from 1 species